rnacentral:rRNA from 1 species
AGUGAACGCUGGCGGUAGGCCUAACACAUGCAAGUCGAACGGCAGCACAGUAAGAGCUUGCUCUUACGGGUGGCGAGUGGCGGACGGGUGAGGAAUACAUCGGAAUCUACUUUUUCGUGGGGGAUAACGUAGGGAAACUUACGCUAAUACCACAUACGACCUACGGGUGAAAGCAGGGGAUCUUCGGACCUUGCGCGAUUGAAUGAGCCGAUGUCGGAUUAGCUAGUUGGCGGGGUAAAGGCCCACCAAGGCGACGAUCCGUAGCUGGUCUGAGAGGAUGGUCAGCCACACUGGAACUGAGGCACGGGCCAGACUCCUACGGGAGGCAGCAGUGGGGAAUAUUGGACAAUGGGCGCAAGCCUGAUCCAGCCAUACCGCGUGGGUGAAGAAGGCCUUCGGGUUGUAAAGCCCUUUUGUUGGGAAAGAAAAGCAGCAGGUUAAUACCCCGCUGUUCUGACGGUACCCAAAGAAUAAGCACCGGCUAACUUCGUG